CCUACGGGAGGCUGCAGUGGGGAAUAUUGCACAAUGGGGGAAACCCUGAUGCAGCGACGCCGCGUGAGUGAAGAAGUAAUUCGUUAUGUAAAGCUCUAUCAGCAGGGAAGAAAAUGACGGUACCUGAGUAAGAAGCCCCGGCUAACUACGUGCCAGCAGCCGCGGUAAUCCGUAGGGGGCAAGCGUUAUCCGGAUUUACUGGGUGUAAAGGGAGCGUAGACGGCAGUGCAAGUCUGGAGUGAAAGGCGGGGGCUCAACCCCCGGACUGCUCUGGAAACUGUACGGCUGGAGUGCAGGAGAGGUAAGUGGAAGUCCUAGUGUAGCGGUGAAAGGCGUAGAUAUUAGGAGGAACACCAGUGGCGAAGGCGGCUUACUGGACUGUAACUGACGUGGAGGCUCGAAAGCGUGGGGAGCAAACAGGAUUAGAUACCCGUGUAGUC
rnacentral:rRNA from 1 species